rnacentral:rRNA from 1 species
GAAGUUGGAAUCGCUAGUAAUCGCGUAUCAGCCAUGACGCGGUGAAUACGUUCCCGGGCCUUGUACACACCGCCCGUCACACCAUGGGAGUGGAUUGCACCAGAAGUAGUUAGUCUAACCUUCGGGAGGACGAUUACCACGGUGUGGUUCAUGACUGGGGUGAAGUCGUAACAAGGUAGCCGUAGGGGAACCUGCGGCUGGAUCACCUCCUU